rnacentral:rRNA from 1 species
UACAGAGGAUGCAAGCGUUAUCCGGAAUGAUUGGGCGUAAAGCGUCUGUAGGUGGCUUUUAAGUCCGCCGUCAAAUCCCAGGCUCAACUCUGGACAGGCGGUGGAAACUACCAAGCUGGAGUACGGUAGGGGCAGAGGGAAUUUCCGGUGGAGCGGUGAAAUGCGUAGAGAUCGGAAAGAACACCACGGCGAAAGCACUCUGCUGGGCCGACACUGACACUGAGAGACGAAAGCUAGGGGAGCGAAUGGG